AAAAAUUGGAUUUUCUUUCAACAGCUGCUCUUAUUAAAUUACAUAUAUUUUCGGUUUAAGAUGACACUACUCUUAUAUCAACUAGCUAGUGGGAUCUAUCUGUCAAGGAAUAUCUUAACCAACAUAAUACGAAACGAAUAAAGCUACCACGACAAGGGGAAAUUGAAAACGAACAGUUUGGUGUGUAACAUAUCCCCGAAAACUAUUUUUCCUAAACACAUCAUCCCGAAUGUUUUAUCCCCGAAUGUACCGUUUUACCGAAUGUAACAUUCCCUCAAAUUUAAUUGCUUUUCGAAAUCCCCCCACCCCCGCAGUAAUCUCCUUGUGCAGACAAUAUGUAAAAGAGAUAAGUUACUGCUUUCCAAAAUUUCAAUUUAUACGCUACCUCUUUCAAAAGUGUACUCACUUUUAAGGUGAACACAGUUAAUAGAAGACAUUUGACAUUUUACGCUACAAAAUUGAACAAUAUUAUCAAUACAAAAAGAAUAUCGAUAUUCUCGAUUAAUAUCGACAACUUUCCACCCCUAUCGUAAAAAGUAAAUAAAUAAUCUUUGAACAGUGAAAAGUAAAAAACCCUCAGCAGUAAAUCUAUGCCUACAUAAUUGUAACAAUCUAACGUUAUGAAUUAUUAGUAAUAAGUAUUGCCAAAAAUCAGUUUAUGCACAUUCUAAAGUGGCAAUUAUUGAAAACUUCAUAGAAAAACAAAAAACUCACAAGAAACGACAAGCAGGUGUGAAGGCUGACAGGAAAAAGAGAAAAACAAAAUCAUCUGAAAAAAAACUGAGAAUGUUAGAGCAUUUGCAAUCACAAAAGCAAACGAUUUCAACAUAAGGAAGAUAUUUUUUAACUGGAAAACAGCUUAUUCCCCGAUAGAUAAAACACCGGAAGAACCUGCUCUGUUUUGAUCGCCGUCGUUAGGCCUCGUUGAAAAAUUUGAUAAAGAAAUCACAAAAUUAGGUGUAAGUGUAAAACACCAAAAUCAGGUGUAACCUUCAAGGCUUUUGACCUCUUUGGGCUAUGCUACCAGAAGUCAUAGCCAGUAAUUUUCACCGAUGUGAGAAUGUGUACAUACGUUUUUGUCAAUUAUCGUUAUAUUUCAAGCUGAUGUAUAAAGAAUCAUUAUUACUGAAUUUCCAGAAGUUAUAGGUUUUUCUGGUCAAAAGGUUUCCUACAGACGUUCUUAUGACAUUCUGAGUAAAACUAGUUUUGAAAGCAUAUUGCUGUGCACGAAACUGCGUUUUUAACUCUUGUACUAUAGCUGUAAAUUGGUUGUUCAAACUUAUGAUUGUCAUCAAGACACCGUACAUUUUUUGUUACACCUCACAUAUUUUACAAUAAAACCUGGUCGGAAAUCAGUGUUAUCAAUACGGCAAUGCUUCACUGUGGUUAAUCUAUCGGGCAAGUCAAACAAUAUGCUUUUAAAUUCAAGAUACUCUUUUGAAAUUUGUUCUUCGCUUACAAUAUGAAUUUUACCUAGUGUGUAAUCAUGUUUUAAAAUAUCAUAAUUCUGUUUUAGAUUCAUUCUCUUCAUAAGACUAUAGGUAAUGUUUUUGAAAUUCAUACAGUUUCUGGCUAUGCUUUUAGAAGCUUUGAACUUGGCUUCGAAUGCCAAACAGCUUCCAAAACAUAUUGGCUGAUUUUUCUGAAGUAUCAUCGGGUAGUGACUAAUAUGGUGAAGUUUAUUUAUUGGACGUAGAUUAGUGAAACAUCUUUUAAAACAACUGUGUAGAUCAGAUAUACAAAACUUCAAAUCCUCUAACAUAUCAGAAGAAACUUUACUAGAAAAUGAUAUGAAUGUAAGUUCGAGUAAAUUUUUUAUUAUAGCCGUGAAGUCUGCAUUACGGUCGAGAAUAUCAUUAAAAACGAAUGGGAAAAUUCUCAAUAACAGCCAUGUCUGCGAAGCUGAUUGACUCAAAGCAUUACCUUUUGUUUUUAAUAAUUUUGACGAUAAAUUACUGGAUGGUUUAUCGCGAAUUUCAAUUGCACCAUAAUCAAAAUUAUCGAUUCUUGAAUUAAUUUCAUCACAAGUUAAUAAUUUUUGUUCAUUUACAGAAAUGUUCAAUAUAUGUUUGAUCAUCAUGGGAGCUAUGCCCUCUAAUAUAUCAUGCAUUGGAUCGAAACACCAAUUGUCCGCUAUAUUAAAAUGUACUAAAGAGUUUAAUAUGCACCGAUUGGCAACACCACUAUCGGAGGGCAUUUGGAUUUUUUGUUCAACAGCUGCUAAAUCUUUAGCCAUACUUGGAGCAGUUCUUUCUGGAAACGUUGCCCCGAAAUUACCCUCCAUUAUAUCGCCCCGUGAAAUGUAGCAUUGCCUGCAGAAAUACGAUGCUUGAGGACCUAGUAACUGAAAAAAAUCAUGCACAGCCAGCGUAUCACCAACUACAUUGCAUAAAACUGCUCUCAAUGUGAAUGUUUGUCCAUUUAUGAUUAGCGGUAUUCCUUCAUCGGAUUCCAAUCUUUUCAAAUCUCGUAUUAACGGUUUUAGAACCUUCUCAUAGCCAUAUUUUUUCAAAAGGACAGACCGAACCAUGAGAAUCGUAUAAAUGCUACGUGGUGAUGAAUUCACAACCGGAUGAAGGUUUUGAAUUUUAAUGCUAAUGUUGGUGAUUUUCUUUUUUCCUUUCCUGGAUCCCAAAGGGUUGAGAUAUUCAACGUCAUCAACGUGUAGUGAUAGGCGCAGAGCAUUCGGGUAUCGUUGAAAAUAAGAAUGGUUUUUGAACUGCCACCCAUCCUUGAAGGAACAUGUGCCAUCAUUUCGCGGUUCUUCAGUAUUGACCAUCUUUUUCGCAUCACCAUUGUUCAUUAUUAAUCGAAGUAUGCUGAUAAUCGAUAUAUAAUGAGCCAUGUCAUUGAGUUGAACAAUCUUAUGCCUAAUUUCAGAUUUUUCAGACGUACAUAAUUGGUAGCGGGCUCUUCGUUUCGAACCUAGACAAACUAGUUUCUUUAUUUUGCGCUUCGAAAGUAACACUUCCUCAGUAACUGGCAUUGCGCAUUUACUUUGCAUAGCGAGCUGAUCUAUAGUGUCGUUAAACGAUCUUAUGGCCCCAAAAAUUUCUGGUAUUUCCAGCUCAUUAAAUAAUUUUACCACCGAUGAAUCAUUGAAUUGAAUAUUGGAUCUUGAAAAAAAUCUUUUCACAACCGUUAACGUAUAUUUCUGACUCAAUUCCAAUCCAGCAGCACAGCCGUCCAUGAAAUGUUGAAUUUUAUUCUCUGGCAAAGAGACAUCGCAACGCAUGCGUGUGACACGGUCUAUCAUUUCAGUGGUUAGCUCUUUUAUACCAACAGAUUUUUCGUAAUAAAAUCGGUUUUUUAUUACAUUCGCAUCUCCCAUUUCAUUAUCAAGAUUUUUAUCAUCAUUCUCUAAAAUGGGAUUGGGAAUGGUUUUAGGAGGUGAAUCGAUAAUUGGAUGACGUUUUAUUAGAUGUUCCUGGAGAUGAUAAAAGCUGGCGUAGACUGCAUUGCACAUGCUGCAUUUAAGCGGUGGCCAACACUUGCUGUGUGUUUUCAAGCCAUGUACUGACUUGCAAUGUUGUUUCAUCUCAUUUAUAUGGCCCUCGAUGAUCUGAUCACAUCCGUCAACGGAACAUACAAAUCGUUCGAAUCUGGUAAUUCAAUAAAGUUCUCGAUAUAGAUAAGUUCUUAACUAUGGUCAGGCCCGGAUUUGAGGAGGGCCUAGUUGCAAAUGCCCCGGGCCUCCCGACUCGAGGACCCCCUUAGACGAAGUGAAGACCUCUUUUUUGGCUCGUCACCUUCCAGCGGUGCGAAGGUGUAGCACAAUUUUUCGUCGAAUUCGCCCCGGGUCCCCUAACGCCCAAAUCCGGCCCUGACUAUGGUCUCUGUUUAAUUAAAUUUAAUUUAGGUUUAAUUUCAGAAUAAAAAUUAUUGCGUCAGCUAAAAAAUCCAAGUUUAAUGAUAUUUAAUUUAGGUGUAGUUUAAGAAUAAAAAUUAUUGCGUUAGCUAAAAAAUGUUCGUUGAAACUAUAAUUUCUAAGUAUUUCAAGAGAUUGUGGGAUAACAAUAUCUGUUAAAUCUAAGCGUAUCACUAACCUUUUACUUUUCAAAUGUUUCGGAAUCCAAAAUGCGUUUUAGCUGAUCCAUGGUUCUGGAAGAAUGAAAAAAAACAUAUAUAUCCUAUAAACAGCUAGUCAAGCCUAAGGCAAUCGAAAAUAUAUAUUUUUCAAUUAAA